AUUGAACGCUGGCGGCAGGCCUAACACAUGCAAGUCGAGCGAGCGGCGGACGGGUGAGUAAUGUAUGGGGACUGCCCGAUAGAGGGGGAUCACUACUGGAAACGGUAGCUAAUACCGCAUACUAUCGGAUAACCCAUAUGGUAUUAGCUAUUAGGUGAGGUAAUGGCUCACCUAGGCGACGAUCCCUCGCUGGUCUUAGAGGAUGAUCAGCCACACUGGGACUGAGACACGGCCCAGACUCCUACGGAGGCAGCAGUGGGGAAUAUUGCACAAUGGGCGAAAGCCUGAGGCAGCCAUGCCGCGUGUAUGAAGAAGGCCCUAGGGUUGUAAAGUACUUUCAGUCGGGAGGCGUUACCUACAGAAGAAGCACCGGCUAACUCCGUGCCAGCAGCCGCGGUAAUAC
rnacentral:rRNA from 1 species